UAUUUUUUUCCCCACAUUUUCAAACUUUAAAUUUCCAAAAUGUUCAGGAAGAAAAUUCCAGUAAUUUCUUUAAAAAAUUCCCUUAAAAGUUUUAUUUAAAAAAAACAAAAACAAAACAAAACUCAAAUUUGGAAAGAAAAUUCUUAAAUAUUUUCAAAAAACGAGUAAAAAUCUCCCCAAAAAAAUCUUAAAAAUAUCUAAAGUGAUGACACAUACAUCAGUAAAACUUCUAUUUUCUUCAAGAACAUUCACAUAAAAAUAAAAAGAUUUUUUUUGUGAAUGUUCUUAAAGAAGCAUUUUUUAAACAUUUAUUUCGACCAAAAAAUUUUCAAAAAUUUCCCAAAAAUGUUGAAAAUGUGGACAUCAGAAGUUUCGCUGUGAAAAUAUUGGGUUUUUUUUCCCCACAUUUUCAAACUCUAAUGCAGGUCAAUUUGACCCACAGGACGACACGAGGGUUAAAAAUAAAAAAAGAACUUGCAACCAGAGGAACCGAUAUUAUCCCCAUCUGUUUGCAUUAUUUUGUUUUCACUCAGUGCUUCCUUAAUCGAUUCAUGUUGAAUUCUAACGUACAUGUCAACCUAAAAAGUGAUACAACAAACAUUUCAUGCUCCAAAAGAUCGUUGGUAAGUUCAGCGAAAUAAAGAUGAAUAGUUUCUUCAAGUUUUGGCUGCGAUGUCAUGAAAGGGAGAACGGCUGAGCCUGGUGUGCUUCAGCAAGAAAAAUUAAGCCUAAUAGUAGAUUUGACAUACGAGAAACUUGCUGGUAGGCGUCAAAACAGCAGGAAACCACAAUGGGAGGCACUGGCCAUUAGAGAAAUACUGUCCACACCCUGAGAGUUUUACUGUACUAAACACUCAGGGAUCAUGUGAUAUCAGUCAUAUCUUGCUUGUUUAAAGUAAAUCAGCACUGUCUUUUACGACGUCAUAGACAGUAGACUAAUUGGGAAGAUAGGAAACAUGACAACAGAAGAUUUACAGUACAAAGUUUGUGUUUUUGCAGCUGAACCUCUGGUUGAUCUGUAACCACCGUUUCUACUGGUGUCGACAUAUCGACUAUCUAGAACAGGGGUGUCAAACAUGAGGCCCGCGGGCCAAAACUGGCCCACCGGAGGGUCCAAUGCAGCCCGCAGGAUGACUUUAUGAAGAGUCAGAGAGAAGAUAUUAACUGCAAAUUAUAAAUAUGUAAAAUUUUUAAUGUAAAAUAAUUUGUAGACCAUGAUCAUGAAGUAAAAUAUUAGAUUUCUCAUUGUUCUUUUGUCAUUUUGUCUCAUUUUUCAUUUUUUUUGUCUGACUUGUCAUUUGUCUCAUGUUUUGUCAUUUUGUGUUUCCUUUUUGUCUCAUUUGGAAUUUUUGUCUAAUUUUGUGUUUUGUUUUAUUUGUUGUUUUGUGUAUGGUUUGUAUCAUUUUGUGGGGUUUUUUUUUGUUACAUUUACACAUUACAACUUCCAGAUCACAGUUUAUCUACAAAGGUACAAAACAUUUAGUCACAGCUAUCUGGAACUGAAUGAUGUAGUAUUUUACUUUAUAAUUUUAUGAAAAUGACAAAAGUCAGACAAAAAAAAAGACAAAAAAGACAACAAAAACAAGACAAAAUAUUACAAAAAUCAGACGCAGAACAACAAAAACGAGACACAAAAUGACAAAAAAAUGAGACAAACGACACCAAACAAAACAAAAAAGAGACAAAAAAAUUAGACAAAAAAUUACAAAGCGACAAAAAAUGGACAAAUGACAAAAACGAGACAAAAAAAUUACACAAAUGAUACAAACAAGACCAAAAAUGACAAACGCGAGAAACAAAACAACAAAGAAGUAGACAAACAACACAAGUGAGACAAAAACAACACAAAACGACUAAAAUGAUAGAAAACAUCGAAUAAAGCAAAACACAAAAUGACAAAAAUAAGAAAAAAACACAAGUGAGACAAAAAGGAAACACAAAACGAAAAAAACGAGAAACAAAAUGACAAAAACAUGAGACAACAAAAGUCAGACAAAAAAACACAACAAAAACAAGACAAAAUAUUACAAAAAUCAGACGCAAAAUGACAAAAUGAGACACAAAAUGACCAAAAAAAAUGAGACAAACGACACCAAACAAAACAAAAAAAUUUGACAAAAAAAUUUGACAAAAAAAUUACAAAAUGACAAAAACAUGAGACAAACAAAAGUCAGACAAAAAAACAACAAAAACAAGACAAAAUCUUACAAAAAUGAUACACAAAAUGACAAAAAAUUUGACAAAAAAGGAACAAAAAGCAUAAGACAAAAGGAAACACAAAACAAGAAGAAUGUGAGAAAAGACAAAAGUCAGACUAAAAAAGACAAAAAACUGUGAAAACAGGACAAACUAUCACAAAAAUGAGACAUAAAAUGACCACAUAACAAUGAACAAUCUAGUAUUUUACUUUAUGAUCAAAACAACUUGUCAUGGUCUAGAAAUUCUUUUAAAUUUAUAGUUUUACAAAUUUACAAUCUGCAGUUAAUGUCUUCUCUGGAAUUUUUACACUUUGAGGGCCAGAUUGGACCCUCUGGAGGGCCGGUUUUGGCCCGCGGGCCACAUGUUUGACACCCCUGAAUUAGAUUAAAGUUAGUGGAAAGAUUAAUUAGAAAAUGCUCACGUUGGGGGUUUGAGGAGUCACAAGAAUGCAGAAGAGCCGUAGCAGGAAAAUUUAUGGGAGUAAGAUCAAUGGAGAGUACAGUGUGUUUUCUCUGUGUGUUUCACAGAAACCAUUCGAUAUACAGGGAAGCAAACAGGCCCUGUUCUGAAUGCAAAUGAACAAUGAAGUCACCACACCAGAAGAGGCAAAACUCUGCAGCCAUUCAGCCAUUAGUCUUUAUCAUGGAGUGCAGGAACCUCUUCAGCUAAUUCAGUUAGUUUAAGUCAUAUUUCAAAAGCUGUGGCAGGACGGUGCAAAGGCUCUACAGCAGCUGAGUAAAUUACCCACAGAGCAUUAUGCUCAAGUGAUUUAUUCAACUCGAGAGCUAAAGCUUCUGCUAAAGCUGUGCCGCUUCUGCUUCGUCAUCAGUUUGAUUUCUGUCUGAUUUCAGUCACACUACACUGUAAAAAAUGUUUGUGUAUUUUACGGUGAAAAACUGUCAAACCAUGACGGUAAAAAUCUGUAAACUCUAAAACAGCUUGAUGCCAUUUAUAUAACAUUGAAUCACCGUAAAUAGGUUAAUCAGGAGAAAAGUGUGUCUUUUAGAUUUUUUCUUUUGAAAAAAAUACAUUUCCUGACUCCUGCACAGUUUUUCAUGGAAAAAUGCCAUCAUAUGUGUAAUAAUACUGUCAUUUUUGCAUUUAAUUCUUGAAAAGAAUACAGUUUUUCCCAGUUAAAUGUACAUAUUGUUGUACUGGAAACAUGCUGUAAUAUUUAUUUAACAAAUAACAUGGCAAUUUCUGCAUUUAAUACUUGUAAAAAAUACAGUUAGUUACUUUUGUGUUAAUAACGGACAAAUGUUUUAAUAUUCUUGACAGCUUUAAUCGCAAUUUUUACUAAAAAUCCAUAUAUUUAAUGUUAAAUACGUUAAAAAUUGUGCUGAUAACUGAAAAAUGCUGUAAUAUUUAUAAGCUACACAAACUUUAUUUUAUAUAAUAUUUUAAGUCAAUUUUAACAUUUUUAAGGUUAAAAAUAUAAUAAAGUAAAAUAUGGAAUGAAGCACGUUUUUAAACCCUAAAAUCAACAACAUCAAUGCAUUUCUUUACCGUAAAUGUAGAAAAUGCUUUACUGUAAUUUUACAGUAGCAUUCUGGCCAGAACUUUAAUAUACAAACAAUUUUUUACAGUGCACUGUAAAAAAUGUUUGACUCCUGCACAGUUUUUAAUGGAAAAAUGCUGUAAUAUGUAGAACAAUACUGUCAUUUUUUGCAUUUAAUUCUCUAAAAGAACAGAGUUUUUCCCAGUUACAUGUACAUAUUGAUGUACUGGUAAUGGAAACAUGCUGCAAUAUUUAUAACAAGUAACAUGGCAAUGGAAAAAAUACAGUUUGUACUGGUCAAAUUGAUGUAGUUUUGUGUUAAUAACAGACAUAUGCUUUAAUAUUUAUGACAACAUUAACUGCAAUCUGGGAAAAACUGCAUUCCUUUCAAGAAUUAAAUGAAAAAUGAUGAUGAUGGGAAAUGUAUUUUUUCAAGAGAAAAAAAUCUCAAAAACACACUUUUCUCCUGAUUAACCUGUUUAUGGUGAUUCAGGGUUAUAUAAACGGCAUCAAGCUGUUUUAGAGUUUACAGAUUUUUACCGUCAUGGUUUGACAGUUUUUUUCACUGUAAAAUGUACGAACAUUUUUUACAGUGUAAAUCAGAUUUAUGAACAUGUUAAAGCUCUAUCUCUGUCUCUGUCUGUCCGUGGGUCACAGACACAUCGAUAUGUACAUUACCAUCUGUCACCUUCAUCCUCGCUGAGGGAUUUGAAAGUGCUGAGUGUGGUCUAAUCCACAGCCCUCAUCUUAGUGAGCGACGCCGCAUAACCAACCUGGCAUUUACUGCCUUCACACCACCAACUCCUGUGGCCCAACUCAUGUUGACGGGCCAGUCAUACGGUGUCAUUGUGAGAAUCUCAAUCUUGUGUGUGUCUUCAUCUCAUCUAAAAGACUAAUCGUCUUCAAGACUACAGAAUCUACUGCACCAAAUUGCUCUAAAAUGGCUGAAGCUGAUGGAGCAGAGGGCAGCCAAGACCUGGAGGCUCCAGCGGAUAACGAGCUGGAUGACGAAUACAGAGCCUUGCUGCAUUUCGGCAAAUACAACGAAGCUCGACGUGCGCUGCCUCGGGAGCAGUGGACCUCCAGGGAAAAGGCAAACUAUUACUUAGACCGCUUCUUCCUGGGGUUUUUGGUCCUUUUUUCGCUCGUGUUGCUGGGAGAAUGUUGCUAUAAAAUGUGGUAUGUGACAAACGUGAAGAAGAUCGUGGAGUUCGUGUCAGAUUCUGUGAUCUUUUUGUUCGACUGGCUCCUCAAACAGGAGCGACACGAGGAGCUGGCCGAGUUGUAGGUCGUCGAAGAAGUCGAUUCCAUUGUUGGGUCACCACUUUUCGGAGGUCUUCUAUAACAUUUAAAGCACACGUGGUAUCACAGCUCCUCACUAAAUAAUCCAUUUAUAGCUACAGCUUAACGAGAGGAAAUGACUGGACAUCCUCCAUACUCCAUACUUUCUGUUAGUGACUUGAUGGAAAUAAACACAAUAAUAUGCAA